GUCCAGGGAUGAGAAUCGACCUACAGUGUUCCGCUUACCGGGCAGAUGCCAUGUCCACUAGGCUACCCUGGA